UAUGACAUGUGGGUGAUGUGGAGAGGGAAGGGGAGGAAAAGGGGGCAGGAGGCAGAGACAGGAGUAGUGAGGCUGCUUCAGGGGGCAGGGUUGGUUUGCAUGGAGAAAGGUACUGGCUAGCAGCAAAAGCUUUCAAGGAAAAAGGCACUUGGAGUCUGUUUGUGUUGGGGCAUUAAAUUAGGUUGACUUUAAUUUGGACAGAAGUAUGGCAAUUUGAGCAGUUCAUCCCAGCCUUCUAGUCUCCUGGCAACAGUGAAGAGCAGACCAUGCUGGGACCACUAUUUUAAUCAACCUAAUUGCAGAUCCUUCCUCUCCUCCCCCAGCAAUCAGCCUCCUGGAAGAUGGAAAACCCUUUUGAGCACGUCAUCUAAAGGACUUGGAGACUCUAGUUUGCCACGCUGCAGUUACACAUUGCUCAGAUCUAUGUAGUACUCUUGUUUCAUGUUCCCUACCUGUAAUCAAGUUGUUACUUUUUUGGGGGGUUGCAUUUUUUUCCCCUGUUAUAUUAAAAUGAAUUUGUUGCUUCAA